UACGUAGGGGGCAAGCGUUGUCCGGAUUUAUUGGGCGUAAAGCGCGUGUAGGCGGCUGGGUAGGUCCGCUGUGAAAACUCGAGGCUCAACCUCGAGACGUCGGCGGAAACCAUCCAGCUAGAGUCCGGAAGAGGAGAGUGGAAUUCCUGGUGUAGCGGUGAAAUGCGCAGAUAUCAGGAAGAACACCCGCGGCGAAAGCGGCUCUCUGGGACGGUACUGACGCUGAGACGCGAAAGCGUGGGGAGCGAACAGG
rnacentral:rRNA from 1 species